rnacentral:tRNA from 1 species
CAUUAGAUGACUGAAAGCAAGUAGUGGUCUCUUAAACCAUUUUAAUAGUAAGUAGCGCCUACUUCUAAUGA